rnacentral:rRNA from 1 species
CCUACGGGAGGCAGCAGUGAGGAAUCUUCCGCAAUGGGCGAAAGCCUGACGGAGCGACACCGCGUGAAGGAUGAAGCCAUUUUUUGGUGUAAACUUCUGUUGUGAGGGAAGAAAUUUUUGACGGUACCUCACGAGAAAGCAUCGGCUAAUUCUGUGCCAGCAGCCGCGGUAAU